CAUGCAAGUCGAACGGCAGCACGGGAGCAAUCCUGGUGGCGAGUGGCGAACGGGUGAGUAAUAUAUCGGAACGUGCCCAAUCGUGGGGGAUAACGCAGCGAAAGCUGUGCUAAUACCGCAUACGAUCUAUGGAUGAAAGCGGGGGAUCGCAAGACCUCGCGCGAAUGGAGCGGCCGAUAUCAGAUUAGCUAGUUGGUGGGGUAAAAGCUCACCAAGGCGACGAUCUGUAGCUGGUCUGAGAGGACGACCAGCCACACUGGAACUGAGACACGGUCCAGACUCCUACGGGAGGCAGCAGUGGGGAAUUUUGGACAAUGGGCGAAAGCCUGAUCCAGCAAUGCCGCGUGCAGGAUGAAGGCCUUCGGGUUGUAAACUGCUUUUGUACGGAGCGAAACGGUUAUCUCUAAUAAAGAUGGCUAAUGACGGUACCGUAAGAAUAAGCACCGGCUAACUACGUGCCAGCAGCCGCGGUAAUACGUAGGGUGCGAGCGUUAAUCGGAAUUACUGGGCGUAAAGCGUGCGCAGGCGGUUUUGUAAGACAGAUGUGAAAUCCCCGGGCUCAACCUGGGACCUGCAUUUGUGACUGCAAAGCUAGAGUACGGUAGAGGGGGAUGGAAUUCCGCGUGUAGCAGUGAAAUGCGUAGAUAUGCGGAGGAACACCGAUGGCGAAGGCAAUCCCCUGGACCUGUACUGACGCUCAUGCACGAAAGCGUGGGGAGCAAACAGGAUUAGAUACCCUGGUAGUCCACGCCCUAAACGAUGUCAACUGGUUGUUGGGUCUUUGCUGACUCAGUAACGAAGCUAACGCGUGAAG
rnacentral:rRNA from 1 species